rnacentral:rRNA from 1 species
GAUGAACGCUGGCGGCGUGCCUAAUACAUGCAAGUCGAGCGAACAGAUAGGGAGCUUGCUCCUUUGACGUUAGCGGCGGACGGGUGAGUAACACGUGGGUAACCUACCUAUAAGACUGGGAUAACUUCGGGAAACCGGAGCUAAUACCGGAUAACAUUUGGAACCGCAUGGUUCUAAAGUGAAAGAUGGUUUUGCUAUCACUUAUAGAUGGACCCGCGCCGUAUUAGCUAGUUGGUAAGGUAACGGCUUACCAAGGCAACGAUACGUAGCCGACCUGAGAGGGUGAUCGGCCACACUGGAACUGAGACACGGUCCAGACUCCUACGGGAGGCAGCAGUAGGGAAUCUUCCGCAAUGGGCGAAAGCCUGACGGAGCAACGUCGCGUGAGUGAUGAAGGGUUUCGGCUCGUAAAACUCUGUUAUUAGGGAAGAACAAACGUGUAAGUAACUGUGCACGUCUUGACGGUACCUAAUCAGAAAGCCACGGCUAACUACGUG